rnacentral:rRNA from 1 species
GAUGAACGCUGGCGGCGUGCCUAAUACAUGCAAGUCGAGCGAACGGACGAGAAGCUUGCUUUUCUGAUGUUAGCGGCGGACGGGUGAGUAACACGUGGAUAACCUACCUAUAAGACUGGGAUAACUUCGGGAAACCGGAGCUAAUACCGGAUAAUAUUUUGAACCGCAUGGUUCAAAAGUGAAAGACGGUCUUGCUGUCACUUAUAGAUGGAUCCGCGCUGCAUUAGCUAGUUGGUAAGGUAACGGCUUACCAAGGCAACGAUGCAUAGCCGACCUGAGAGGGUGAUCGGCCACACUGGAACUGAGACACGGUCCAGACUCGUACGGGAGGCAGCAGUAGGGAAUCUUCCGCAAUGGGCGAAAGCCUGACGGAGCAACGCCGCGUGAGUGAUGAAGGUCUUCGGAUCGUAAAACUCUGUUAUUAGGGAAGAACAUAUGUGUAAGUAACUGUGCACAUCUUGACGGUACCUAAUCAGAAAGCCACGGCUAACUACGUG